UACGUAGGGGGCAAGCGUUGUCCGGAUUUAUUGGGCGUAAAGAGCGUGUAGGCGGCCAGACAGGUCCGUUGUGAAAACUCGAGGCUCAACCUCGAGACGCCGAUGGAAACCGUUUGGCUAGAGUCCGGAAGAGGAGAGUGGAAUUCCUGGUGUAGCGGUGAAAUGCGCAGAUAUCGGGAAGAACACCCGUGGCGAAGGCGGCUCUCUGGGACGGUACUGACGCUGAGACGCGAAAGCGUGGGGAGCGAACAGG
rnacentral:rRNA from 1 species